AAAGCUUUAGCUUAAAUAAAGCAUCUGUUUUGCGUACAGAAGAUAUGGAUUAGAGAUCUAUAGGUUUUA
rnacentral:tRNA from 1 species